rnacentral:misc_RNA from 1 species
AGCAAUCAUUAAUUCUUGCCAAAAUUUUCAAUGAUACUUGUUCAAACUUAUCAAUUAUCGAAUUGUAAACCGAUAAAAAGAAGCUUAUGAAAGAGCAAUAACCUACAUAUUUACAUUUAGACUAAUUUAAAACUACAAGCAAAUCACAAAAAAUGGCUUUUUGGAUAAUCCAUUCCUACAUGAAUUUUCUCCAUUGUUCACUGAAGAAGACAUAUUUGCCCGCCAAUAAACUUUGGUUCAAUGCUCUGAUACUUGGACUCUUACGUACCCGUGUCCACACGACACGAUGACAUGGCACAGGAUAUGCGUCGGACACAUAUCCAUCACGUUGGACA